rnacentral:tRNA from 1 species
AUAUUCGUGGUGUAAAGGUAGUACACUCGGCGUUUACUCGAGAGGUCCAGGUUCGAAUCCCGGCGAGGGCA